rnacentral:rRNA from 1 species
CAAUAGCGUAUAUUAAAGUUGUUGCAGUUAAAAAGCUCGUAGUUGGAUUUCUGGUAGGAGUGACCGUUCCGAACUUGAUUGUUCGUGUAUUGUGUUUUCUCCAGCCAUCCUUGUGGAGAACUUUUCUUGCAUUAAUUUGUAGGGAUUGGGACCCGCAUCGUUUACUGUGAAAAAAUUAGAGUGUUUAAAGCAGGCAAUCGCUUGAAUACAUUAGCAUGGAAUAAUAAGAUAGGACUUUGGUACUAUUUUGUUGGUUUGCAUACCAAAUUAAUGAUCAACAGGAACAGUUUGAGGAUAUUCGUAUGAACAUGUCAGAGGUGAAAUUCUUGGAUUUUGAUCAGACGAACUACUGCGAAAGCAUCUAUCAAGGAUGUUUUCAUUAA